GCCCCCGUAGUUCAGGGGAUAGAACACCUCCGUCCUAAGGAGGGUGUCGGGCGUUCGAAUCGCUCCGGGGGUGCCA
rnacentral:tRNA from 1 species